CCCGGGUUGUUCAGCAUGUGGUCCUUCCACUUGUUUAAGGCAGGAAUAUGCAAGUACUUGCAAGGUGUAUGAACUUGCAUCAGUUGAGUGUUUUCCCCUACAUUGGCUGGGUAUGUUGAAGAAAAAAAGCUGAAAGGGCUGAAAACCAAGGAGUCAUGACUUCUGACAGGAAAUUUUAGUCAUCAUCGACUGAUCAUCUAAAAUGUUUUGGCAGGGGAAUGUUGCAUCACAUUCUUCUUAACAGAGCCUAGAGGAAUCAAAAUUUAUCUUCUGUGCAAAAGCUUCUGAGCCUGGA